GGGGGCGUAGCUCAGCUGGGNNGCAUCCGUAAGGUCGAGAGUUCGAUCCUCUUCGUCUCCAUCA
rnacentral:tRNA from 1 species